rnacentral:rRNA from 1 species
UGGCGGCAGGCCUAACACAUGCAAGUCGAGCGGUAACAUUUCUAGCUUGCUAGAAGAUGACGAGCGGCGGACGGGUGAGUAACGCGUAGAAAUCUACCUAGUAGUGGGGGAUAGCCCAGAGAAAUUUGGAUUAAUACCGCAUACGCCCUACGGGGGAAAGCGGGGGAUCUUCGGACCUCGUGCUAUUAGAUGAGUCUGCGUCGGAUUAGCUUGUUGGUGAGGUAAUGGCUCACCAAGGCGACGAUCCGUAGCUGGUCUGAGAGGAUGACCAGCCACACUGGAACUGAGACACGGUCCAGACUCCUACGGGAGGCAGCAGUGGGGAAUAUUGCACAAUGGGCGCAAGCCUGAUGCAGCCAUGCCGCGUGUGUGAAGAAGGCCUUAGGGUUGUAAAGCACUUUCAGCAGUGAGGGAAGGGGUGUCGUUAAUAGCGCCAUCCUGUGACGUUAACUGCAGAAGAAGGACCGGCUAACUCCGUG